AUUGAACGCUGGCGGAAUGCUUUACACAUGCAAGUCGAACGGCAGCACGGGGGCAACCCUGGUGGCGAGUGGCGAACGGGUGAGUAAUACAUCGGAACGUGCCCAGUCGUGGGGGAUAACUACGCGAAAGCGUAGCUAAUACCGCAUACGAUCUACGGAUGAAAGCGGGGAUCGCAAGACCUCGCGCGAUUGGAGCGGCCGAUGGCAGAUUAGGUAGUUGGGAGGUAAAGGCUCACCAAGCCUUCGAUCUGUAGCUGGUCUGAGAGGACGACCAGCCACGCUGGGACUGAGACACGGCCCAGACUCCUACGGGAGGCAGCAGU
rnacentral:rRNA from 1 species